rnacentral:rRNA from 1 species
CCUACGGGAGGCUGCAGUGGGGAAUAUUGGACAAUGGGGGGAACCCUGAUCCAGCCAUGCCGCGUGUGUGAAGAAGGCCCUCGGGUUGUAAAGCACUUUCAGUGAGGAAGAACGCCUGGUGGUUAAUACCCAUCAGGAAAGACAUCACUCACAGAAGAAGCACCGGCUAACUCCGUGCCAGCAGCCGCGGUAAUACGGAGGGUGCGAGCGUUAAUCGGAAUUACUGGGUGUAAAGCGCGCGUAGGUGGCUUGAUAAGCCGGUUGUGAAAGCCCCGGGCUCAACCUGGGAACGGCAUCCGGAACUGUCAAGCUAGAGUGCAGGAGAGGAAGGUAGAAUUCCCGGUGUAGCGGUGAAAUGCGUAGAGAUCGGGAGGAAUACCAGUGGCGAAGGCGGCCUUCUGGACUGACACUGACACUGAGGUGCGAAAGCGUGGGUAGCAAACAGGAUUAGAUACCCCAGUAGUC